AUGAACGCUGACAGAAUGCUUAACACAUGCAAGUCUACUUGAAUUUGGGUUUUUUAACUUAGAUUUGGGUGGCGGACGGGUGAGUAACGCGUAAAGAACUUGCCUCACAGCUAGGGACAACAUUUGGAAACGAAUGCUAAUACCUGAUAUUAUGAUUAUAAGGCAUCUUAGAAUUAUGAAAGCUAUAUGCGCUGUGAGAGAGCUUUGCGUCCCAUUAGCUAGUUGGAGAGGUAACGGCUCACCAAGGCGAUGAUGGGUAGCCGGCCUGAGAGGGUGAACGGCCAAAAGGGGACUGAGACACGGCCCUUACUCCUACGGGAGGCAGCAGUGGGGAAUAUUGGACAAUGGACCAAGAGUCUGAUCCAGCAAUUCUGUGUGCACGAUGACGUUUUUCGGAAUGUAAAGUGCUUUCAGUUGGGAAGAAAAAAAUGACGGUACCAACAGAAGAAGUGACGGCUAAAUACGUG
rnacentral:rRNA from 1 species